GCUUACGGCCAUAUCAGCCUGGGUACGCCCGAUCUCGUCUGAUCUCGGAAGCUAAGCAGGGUCGGGCCUGGUUAGUACUUGGAUGGUAGAACGCCUGGGAAUACCAGGUGCUGUAAGCA
rnacentral:rRNA from 1 species